GACGAACGCUGGCGGCGUGCUUAACGCAUGCGAGUCGAACGAAGAGCGAUGGAAGCUUGCUUCUAUCAAUCUUAGUGGCGAACGGGUGAGUAACGCGUAAUCAACCUGCCCUUCAGAGGGGGACAACAGUUGGAAACGACUGCUAAUACCGCAUACGAUCUAAUCUCGGCAUCGAGGAUAGAUGAAAGGUGGCCUCUACAUGUAAGCUAUCACUGAAGGAGGGGAUUGCGUCUGAUUAGCUAGUUGGAGGGGUAACGGCCCACCAAGGCGAUGAUCAGUAGCCGGUCUGAGAGGAUGAACGGCCACAUUGGGACUGAGACACGGCCCAGACCCCUACGGGAGGCAGCAGUGGGGAAUCUUCCGCAAUGGACGAAAGUCUGACGGAGCAACGCCGCGUGAGUGAUGACGGCCUUCGGGUUGUAAAGCUCUGUUAAUCGGGACGAAAGGCCUUCUUGCGAAUAGUGAGAAGGAUUGACGGUACCGGAAUAGAAAGCCACGGCUAACUACGUG
rnacentral:rRNA from 1 species